rnacentral:rRNA from 1 species
UACGAAGGGGGCUAGCGUUGUUCGGAAUUACUGGGCGUAAAGCGCGCGCAGGCGGUCCUUCAAGUCAGAGGUGAAAGCCCAGAGCUCAACUCUGGAACGGCCUUUGAGACUAGAGGACUUGGGUACGGGAGAGGUGAGUGGAAUUCCGAGUGUAGAGGUGAAAUUCGUAGAUAUUCGGAAGAACACCAGUGGCGAAGGCGACUUACUGGACACAUAUUGACGCUGAGGUGCGAAAGCGUGGGGAGCAAACAGG